GGGCUCAGUCGGUAGAGCCUGACACUCUUUAAUCUCAGGUUUGUGGGUUCAAGCCCCAUGUUUGGCA